UACGUAGGUGGCGAGCGUUGUCCGGAUUUAUUGGGCGUAAAGCGCGUGCAGGUGGUUGGUUAAGGCCGAUGUGAAAUCUCCCGGCUCACCUGGGAGGGUGCGUUGGCGACUGGCCGACUGGAGGCAGGUAGAGGCCGGUGGAAUUCCCGGUGCAGUGGUGAAAUGCGUAGAUAUCGGGAGGAACACCAGUGGCGAAAGCGGCCGGCUGGGCCUGUCCUGACGCUGAGACGCGAAAGCGUGGGGAGCGAACCGG
rnacentral:rRNA from 1 species